CCUACGGGUGGCAGCAGUAGGGAAUAUUGCACAAUGGGGGCAAGCCUGAAGCAGCAAUGCCGCGUGUAGGAUGAAGGUUUUAGGAUUGUAAACUACUUUCAGUAGAGAGGAUUAUGGCGGGAUCUAACGAAUAAGCACCGGAUAACUCCGGGCAAGCAGGCGCGGUAAUACGGAGGGCGCAAGCGUUUGUCGGAAUUACGGGGCGUAAAGAGAGCGUAGGCGGGGGAGUAAGUCAGAUGUGAAAUCCUUGGGCUUAACUCAGGACCUGCAUUUGAAACUGUAGAUAUGGAGUGUGGGAGAGGUAGGUGGAAUUCCUGGUGUAGAGGUGAAAUCCGUAGAGAUCUGGAGGAAUACUGAUGGCGAAGGCGGCCUGCUGGACCAUUACUGACGCUGAUGCACGAAAGCGUGGGGAGCAAACAGGAUUAGAUACCCGUGUAGUC
rnacentral:rRNA from 1 species